GACGAACGCUGGCGGCAGGCUUAACACAUGCAAGUCGAACGAGAUCUUCGGAUCUAGUGGCAGACGGGUGAGGAACACGUGGGAACAUCCCUUUCAGUUCGGAAUAACGUUGGGAAACUAACGCUAAUACCGGAUACGUCCUUCGGGAGAAAGAUUUAUCGCUGAAAGAUUGGCCCGCGUCUGAUUAGCUAGUUGGUGCGGUAACGGCUCACCAAGGCUACGAUCAGUAGCUGAUCUGAGAGGAUGAUCAGCCACAUUGGGACUGAGACACGGCCCAAACUCCUACGGGAGGCAGCAGUGGGGAAUAUUGGACAAUGGGCGCAAGCCUGAUCCAGCCAUGCCGCGUGGGUGAUGACGGCCUUCGGGCUGUAAAGCUCUUUUGUCCGGGAAGAUAAUGACUGUACCGGAAGAAUAAGCCCCGGCAAACUUCGUGCCAGCAGCCGCGGUAA
rnacentral:rRNA from 1 species